rnacentral:ncRNA from 1 species
CUUGAGAUGUUUUCCCUGAAAAAUAUCAAUGAAAGGCAACAACUUGGGCUACAGGCACGAUCAUAGUGCUUAUGUGUCAAAAACUUUUAGUUUUUGAGCACUAUCAGAAAUCACAAAGAUUUCUGAAGCCAUCAAAUACAAUAGCGAUAGCAAGUAGUAAUGAAGAACCUUGGGUAAGUUUGGAGCGAAACCUAAAGUUAUGGUGAAUCUUGAUGAUCAUGCUACGACUG